rnacentral:lncRNA from 1 species
CUCCACCAGCCUCAGUUCCACCUGCUUGCUGGAGCAAACGGCAGUGGAAAAGUUCAUCAGUUCUCUUAGCUCCUUCCAGGCUCGUCUCUACCCAUUUGACACCGGCCCUGGUUAGUAUGUCCAAGUGGCCUUGAGCCACCUCCCUGAGAAAGUCACUCUCUGCUAGGAUGGAGCAAGUCCUGCAGACUGCGGGUCGGGGAGGGCUUGCCGCAGCCUGGGCCACAGGCUCUCUCCUCCUGGAAGCUAGUCUGCCAUGGCUUGUGCUGUGCAGGACUCAAGGUCACUUCUGGUUUAAGCCCCCAUCUCAUUGACAAAGGAACGAGCAGGGGACAGCCAUCUGAGGGGAGGGCAUGGGGAACAGCAUAGGUGGGAGCCCCAGUUCUCCCAAGCUAUUCAGGAAUCGGAUCGAGUCACUCCUUUCCUCAGAAACAGAGCAAGGCUCCUCACAGCCUCCCAAAUCGAGCCCAAACUCAGCCUGGAACUCAGCACUCUUUAUUAUCUGGCCCUGGGCUGUUGCUGGAUUCCUAGACACUGGGAUUCCUGGAUGCUGAUCCAGCUCUCAAGAGCCCUGGCUCUGUGGCUAUGAUGAUUGCCCCUGAAUAUCUGUACCACUACACCCAAACCACUCAGGGGCCCCAGUGUGUGUGCCCCUGUUCUGUGAAACGUGAACAGUGUUGGCUGAGCCAACACACCCUACCCUACACCCCGCCCCUGUUCCCAUCCUGCCCUGCACCUCCUCCUGCCUUAGUUCCACUCUGCCUGGGGAGAGGAAGGGACAGACCCUGCGCACUCCCCUCCUGUCCUAUGAGCUUCUCAAUGCCUGAUCACCCCACCGCCUGCCUGAUCACCCCUGCCUGAUCAGGAUGCCUGAUCACCCCACCGCCACCCCCACCAUAAUGGCCUUGCCCAGCAGAGCGCACAGUAAUUGCAUGAUCAAUAUUUGUUCAUAUGAGUUGAGUUGAACUGAUUUAAAGGAGUUCCUCCCCAGACAGAAUGAUUCCUCUCCUUAAAGAUGUAGGCUUUCGGCUGGGCAUGGUGGCUCAUGCC